rnacentral:lncRNA from 1 species
CCACAAUUUUACACAUAGUUACACAGUUUGGUAAAUUUUCAUUGAAAUUUGCUUUUGUUCACUCUGUUUAGAAUUCUUUUCUUUGGAAAUUAAUACCAUAAAAGGGCUGCUACUUAGGAAAAUGGUUCUUUGGUACAACAUAAAAAGUCCUUUACAGGGGAAUUUCACUUGGUAUAGGCCCUGGUAUUCUCUGCCCCCAACAUCAUGCCAUAAAAGGAAAAGGCUUUAGUUUGGGGGUGGGGAGACGAAGACCUUUAAAAUAAACAUUUUGUUUUUAUCUAAUUUUGCUUUAAUCUUUGUUAAGGAAUAAUUUUAAAACAUACUAAAAAGGCUCAAUGAAAUGCCCAGAACACUUACUAAUUCCUUAACUUUAAGUAUAAUAUUUAUUAUAUGGGUCUAAAAUUAUUUCUACCUAAAUGUUCAGAAUUUUAAUGACAGAAUAUUUGUCUUUAAGUCUCAGAGGUUGUGUAAGCCUAGAAAUUGUUUAUCCCGUGGUCAUAUGAUGUGGGAGUAGUAAGGAAUGGAGGAAAUGCUGCCCUGGGGAACUGUAUGGAAUGUAGAUUGUAAGUUAAAAAGAGAAAGUAAAGCAAGUGCUAAUUUCAUUUUUCAUUCGUAGUUUUUUAAAAUUAUUUAUACAGAAUCUUGUUUCUAAAAGUGAACUUAUUUGCCUUCAAAGGCAAUAAGUAAUUUCAAACCUGACCAAUUUUAUCAUUUCACAGUAAGGUAUCAGGGAGAUAAAAGAGCUUAAACGAGAGCUGCCACACAUUGUUUUCACUGUCAACUAUUUGUUUUCUCAGAAGCCUUUUAAAUGAUAGUUCUUGACUAGAAACUAUCAACUGAAGAUUUAUCUUUAACUGACAGGAGGACAGUUUGUGUGUGGUCCGUGGUUAAAGAUCCUUCUGGCCUUGCCUUUCAUGUUGCCAUCUAAUCAAAUGCACAUUUUUAACCCUCCUUUCUCUCACUAGAGCUAUAGGUUAGAUUUUUUGGUGUGUAUUUUGUUCUCUUUGAGGCAGAGUCUCUCUGUCUCCCAGGCUGGAGUGCAGUGGCACCAUCAUAGCUCAAGCGCACUGCAGCCUCCAUCUCCCAGGCUGAGGCAGGAGAAUCACCUGUACCCGGGAGGUGGAGGUUGCAGUGAGCCAAGAUGGCGCCAUUGCACUCCAGCCUGGGUGACAAGAGUGAAAUUCUGUCUCAGAAAAAAAAAUUGUUUCCAGAGAAUAGCGACCAUGAUGUUAUUGCCCUGGUGCCUAGUAAGUAGUGACAUUCAGAAGUUUAGUUGCUACUGUGUGUCAGAUACCACACUAGUCACACUGGACAUAGUGCUCAGUAAUUAUUAAGCUGUAUCCAGUUGCGUUCUGGAGGCUGUAGGAAGAUGUGCAGGCCACAAGGACAUUCUUCCCUACCUGGGCAUAGACUCGUAGUUUUCUUUUGGGUCUAUCAAAAUAACCUGUUGUAUUUAACCUACUUUAAUUCCCUUCAAUUAUAUAUAUAUUAACUAAACAUGCUGUGGGUAUUUUUAAAUAAAUAUGACUCUCAAACUGGAUUUUUAAAUUUUGAAGAAUUAUUCUAUAUGUUGAUUUAUGUUAAUCUAAAUGGAAAUGACUAAUGCCAUAAAGCCGAAAUUCCUCAUGUAGUAUACGGCAUCUCUUUGUUUUCCCUUCCAGGAAAAAGGAUGCAAAAAACACAUGGUAACUGAGGGGUUUGCUUUUCUUGUGUAAAAAAAGAAACAGAUGGGCACUGCACUUAUUUUAUGCCUUCAAAUUCUUAUUUCUGAAAAGCAGUGCAUGGAUCAUAUUAUCUGACUAAAUCUGAGAAGACUUUAAAGGCUUUUGGAUACUUUUAUUUUGCUACUAAAAUAAUUGGCUUUACCUUAACCGGUGAGAACUGGGUACACGAUGUAACUGGGUACACGAUGUAGGGGGAAAGAAAUAUUUGCUCUUUUUAUCUUCUCCCUACAAAUUUCUACCCUUAGGUUCUUUAGCAACAUUUAACAUUCUAAAAUAAUGUGGAGUGUUUCUCAGUGUUCUAAAUGGAAAGUAAUUGCUGCUUCCUCAUUUUCAUUUUUCAUUCUUGCAUUUACUUUGCUUGGUUUCUACCUAAAGUAGUUUUUUGCAUGACUUUUGGCUGGAAUUUUGGUUUGCAGGUGACCGCAACUUUUUCUUUGCUUCGUUGCCAUUUUUUCUGAUUGCCUUUUUUUUUCUUUCUGCUUCCUUUUUCUUUCCUCGCAUUGCCAUCUACAGCCAGGCUAUAUAAGAGAUUUGGUAAGUUCUCCAUAUUUACCACAAAAGAAAAAGAAUAAAUAAAAAUUCAUAGCCACAACCUUCCCUCAUGGAAUUUACCCCAGUAGUGAAAUUUAAAUUUAAAAUAGAAAUGAUUAUGGUGAUUUCAAGUACCUUAAAGCUGCUAACAAAUAUUCCUGCUAGAAACAUGUAUUCCAGGUAUUCAUUCUGAUUAUAGACAUAGUGCUAAAUUUAAUUAAAACUCGUGUAUAUGUGGAUUAGAAUGUGCUGUUCUGUAAUAGUAGUACCGUUAGGUGUAUGCAUUUGGAAUAUGUCUCAAGUGUGGCAACUAUGUACUCCUAAUAGUACUUUUUGUUGAUAUAUGAAAACUGAAAUUAAGACUUAUUUUGAAAAAUCCUUAUACAUUACAUUAUUACAGUGUCCAAAUGUAGCUUCAGAUAUUUUGAUUUCAACUCUUACAAUAUGAUUUUGGGGUACGGGGUGCGUAAUUCAAUCUUUUGAUCUUUUGUCUCAGUUCUCCCAUGAGAGAAUAAUGUUCAAUGGUAAAGGUGAUGUUUACUCAUGUUUAGAUAACAGCGAGAAUCUUGGAGGCCCAUCAGAAUGUAGCUCAGAUGAGUCUAAUUGAAGCCAAGAUGAGAUUUAUUCAAGCUUGGCAGUCACUACCUGAAUUUGGCAUCACUCACUUCAUUGCAAGGUCAGUGGUUCUAAGCAUCUAUGUGUAAACCUUAAUCUGCAUUUUUGCUUAAUCUACCUCAUGUAAUUAGAUAUUAAACAUCUAAAGCAUACCUAUGUAGACCCAUUAACUCAUAUUACAAUAGAAUUCAAAGACUGUUAGAAUGUAUUUUGUAAGCUUUUAAUUUCUACAUUAAAAAUUCAAGAUAAUUGUGUUUGUUUUACUACUAAGAGAAUAGCACUCUUGGCCAGGCACGGUGGCUCACGCCUGUAAUCGCAGCACUGUGGGAGGCCGAGGUGGGUGGAUCACGAGGUCAGGAGAUAGAGACCAUCCUGGCUAACACGGUGAAACCCUGUCUCUACUAAAAAUACAAAAAAUUAGUGGGGCAUGGUGGUGGGCGCCUGUAGUCCCAGCUACUCGGGAGGCUGAGGCAGGAGAAUGGCGUGAACCCAGGAGGCGGAGCUUGCAGUGAGCUGAGAUCGCGCCACUGCACUCCAGCCUGGGCAACAGAGCAAGACUCCGUCUCAAAAAAAAAAAAAAAGAAUAGUACUCUUUUAGGGUUAGAGAGAACACUUAUCUUGAAGAAAAGCAGUCCAACAUGUUCCCCCACAACAUGUUUUUAACCGUUCUUUUCUUAAAUGUUAUAGGUUCCAAGGGGGCAAAAAAGAAGAACUUAUUGGAAUUGCAUACAACAGACUGAUUCGGAUGGAUGCCAGCACUGGAGAUGCAAUUAAAACAUGGCGUUUCAGCAACAUGAAACAGUGGAAUGUCAACUGGGAAAUCAAAAUGGUAAACUCAUAACAAUGUUACUUGAAUAUAGUCCUUCUCUGAUACAAAUUAGUACAUUAAGAAUAAAAAGGCCUAUAAAUUCUGAUGAUUAUUUGUACCACCACCUCUUAAAGUACAGACAGACCAUGGUUGACUAUUCAUUUCUCACUUAAAUUUGCCUAUUUCAUAAUUAGCCCAGUUACUAAAAUUCUAAGUGCAUAAUUUGCUUAGAAUGUUGCCUUUUUUGUCUUUCUGUAAUGGAUAAAGCCGAUCUACUCUGAAAUAGCAGCUACUGUUUGUUGAAUGCCUACCCUGUGCCAGACAUGAUACUUAGAGGCUUACAUUAGUACCCUGUCUCUAAACCUCAUCACAGCCUUUUAAGGCAGUUGGACAAAUGAAGACACUGCAAUAGAGAGACCUGAGGGCCAUCAUUGUCUAUGACCACGCACAAAGUAACUACAGAAUCAUUUCAAACUCAGAUGCUUUAGGCUUAAAAACCUGGCACAUUUACCACUGUACAUCAUGUUGCCCCCAGUCUUGGAGUAUACGAGUAUCAUUUAAAAUGAACCAUCUUUUACUAAUAAGUCAUUUGGUUUAGCAUCAUAUUGGAUUUAUUGUAUCAAUUCCUAUUACUUCAAAGAAUCUUAUAUUUCUGAAAUACUCAAACGUGAUACCUAAAAUUUAAGUAUCUGAAGCGAACGUUAAAACACAGGAAGUAGGCUUUCCUGCACGACUUGAAGAGAGGCAUUCUCAUUAAUUGAAUCAAUCACCAGAGACCAUUUGAGAACUGAACGACCUAAAACCCUUGCAUUCCUAGUCUUCCUUUUCAGAACAUGAAAACUUAAAGUGUAGGGGAAGGGCAAUAAACUUAGCUUCUUCUUUGGGACUUAAAGGCAUUAUUCGUUUAGGUUUUAGACAGACUGAUCAUUUGAGGAUCAACAAGUGUUUUGUGAUAUGACAGACUUUAAGUAGCACAGUAGUUUUGUGUGGACCCAGCCACCUAGCAUUUGGGACAGCACUGAUGGCUCUUGUCUUUGUUCCAGGUCACCGUAGAGUUUGCAGAUGAAGUACGAUUGUCCUUCAUUUGUACUGAAGUAGAUUGCAAAGUGGUUCAUGAAUUCAUUGGUGGCUACAUAUUUCUCUCAACACGUGCAAAAGACCAAAACGAGAGUUUAGAUGAAGAGAUGUUCUACAAACUUACCAGUGGUUGGGUGUGAAUAGGAAUACUGUUUAAUGAAACUCCACGGCCAUAACAAUAUUUAACUUUAAAAGCUGUUUGUUAUAUGCUGCUUAAUAAAGUAAGCUUGAAAUUUAUCAUUUUAUCAUGAAAACUUCUUUGCCUUACCAGACCAGUUAAUAUGUGCACUAAACAAGCACGACUAUUAAUCUAUCAUGUUAUGAUAUAAUAAACUUGAAUUUGUCACACAUUCCUUAGGGCCAUGAAUUGAAAACUGAAAUAGUGGGCAAAUCAGGAACAAACCAUCACUGAUUUACUGAUUUAAGCUAGCCAAACUGUAAGAAACAAGCCAUCUAUUUUAAAGCUAUCCAGGGCUUAACCUAUAUGAACUCUAUUUAUCAUGUCUAAUGCAUGUGAUUUAAUGUAUGUUUAAUUUGAUAUCAUGUUUUAAAAUAUCCUACUUCUGGUAGCCAUUUAAUUCCUCCCCCUACCCCCAAAUAAAUCAGGCAUGCAGGAGGCCUGAUAUUUAGUAAUGUCAUUGUGUUUGACCUUGAAGGAAAAUGCUAUUAGUCCGUCGUGCUUGAUUUGUUUUUGUCCUUGAAUAAGCAUGUUAUGUAUAUUGUCUCGUGUUUUUAUUUUUACACCAUAUUGUAUUACACUUUUAGUAUUCACCAGCAUAAUCACUGUCUGCCUAAAAUAUGCAACUCUUUGCAUUACAAUAUGAAGUAAAGUUCUAUGAAGUAUGCAUUUUGUGUAACUAAUGUAAAAACACAAAUUUUAUAAAAUUGUACAGUUUUUUAAAAACUACUCACAACUAGCAGAUGGCUUAAAUGUAGCAAUCUCUGCGUUAAUUAAAUGCCUUUAAGAGAUAUAAUUAACGUGCAGUUUUAAUAUCUACUAAAUUAAGAAUGACUUCAUUAUGAUCAUGAUUUGCCACAAUGUCCUUAACUCUAAUGCCUGGACUGGCCAUGUUCUAGUCUGUUGCGCUGUUACAAUCUGUAUUGGUGCUAGUCAGAAAAUUCCUAGCUCACAUAGCCCAAAAGGGUGCGAGGGAGAGGUGGAUUACCAGUAUUGUUCAAUAAUCCAUGGUUCAAAGACUGUAUAAAUGCAUUUUAUUUUAAAUAAAAGCAAAACUUUUAUUUAAUA